rnacentral:rRNA from 1 species
GGUUCGAUCAUGGCUCAGAUUGAACGCUGGCGGGAUGCUUUACACAUGCAAGUCGAACGGCGGCACGGACUUCGGUCUGGUGGCGAGUGGCGAACGGGUGAAGUAAUGUAUCGGAACGUGCCUAGUAGCGGGGGAUAACUACGCGAAAGCGUAUGUACCGCAUACGCCCUUCAGGGGAAAGCGGGGACCUUCGGGCCUCGCACUAUUGCGGCGGCCGAUAUCGGAUUAGCUGAGUUGUUGGGGUAACGGCUCACCAAGGCGACGAUCCGUAGCUGAACUGAGAGGACGACCAGCCACACUGUGGACCGAACACGGCCCAGACUCCUACAGGCAGCAGUGGGGAAUUUUGAAUGUCGGGGAAACCCUGAUCCAGCCGUCCGCGUGUGCGAUGAAGGCCCUUCCGGGUUGUAAAGCACUUUUGGCGGGAAAGAAACGGCCUGGGGAUAAUACCCCGUGCAACCUGACCAGUACCUGCAGAAUAAGCACCGACUAACUACGUGCCAGCAGCCGCAGUAAUACGUAGAGAUUGCAAGCGUUAAUCGGAAUUACUGGGCGUAAAGCGUGCGCAGAUGGUUCGGAAAAGAUGUGAAAAUCUAUGACUUAACUUUGGAGCUACAUUUUUAACUACCGAGCUAGAGUGUCAGAGGAGGUAAUUCCCAUGUAGUGAAAUGCGUAGAUAUGCGGAGGAACACCGAUGGCGAAGGCAGCCUCCUGGGAUAACACUGACGCUCAUGCACGAAAGCGUGGGAGCAAACGGGAUUAAAUACCCUGGUAGUCCCACGCCCUAAACGUCAACUGGCUGUUGGGGCCUUCGGGCCUUGGUGGCCGCAACUAACGUGAAGUUGACCGCCUGGGAAGCCCGGUCGCAAGAUUAAAACUCAAGAUAUUGACGGGGACCCGCACAAGCGUGUGGAUUAAGGUAGAGCGCAACGCGAAAAACCUUACCUACCCUUGACAUGUCUGGAAUCCCGAAGAGAUUUGGGAGUGCUCGCAAGAGAACGGAACACAGGUGCUGCAUGGCUGUCGUCAGCUCGUGUCGUGAGAUGUUGGGUUAAGUCCCGCAACGAGCGCAACCCUUGUCAUUAGUUGCUACGAAGGGCAUAAUGAGACUGCCGGUGACAAACCGGAGGAAGGUGGGGAUGACGUCAGUCCUCAUAUUUAUGGGUAGGGCUUACACGUCAUACAAUGGUCGGGACGGGGGUCGCCAACCCGCCAGGGGAGCCAAUCCCAGAAACCUGAUCGUAGUCCGGAUCGCAGUCUGCAACUCGACUGCGUGAAGUCGGAAUCGCUAGUAAUCGCGGAUCAGCAUGUCGCGGUGAAUACGUUCCCGGGUCUUGUACACCGCCCGUCACACCAUGGGAUGGGUUUUACCAGAAGUAGUUAGCCUAACCCAUAAGGAGGGCGAUUACGACGAGACCGCUGACUGGGGUGAAGUCGUAACAAAGGUAG